rnacentral:lncRNA from 1 species
AAAGAGAGAGGAUCCACUUACUCUAAGAUUUAAACUUCCUUAUCCUAGCCUUCAAUUCUAGGGAAAUCUAAUGGUUUAAAUUUACCCACUACUUCAAACCAUUAGAUUCCCCAAGAAUUGAUGGAUAAGAUAGGUUGGAGUAAGUGGAUCCCUUCUCUUUAUAUAAUAGUACUUUUUGAAGAAAAUAGGAGGAGCCCUUAGCAUUGUAUAAUAGUUGCUUGCUUAUACAAAUAUGUGAUAAAUUUCAAUAACUUAUUUGUCAUACACACUAGUUUAAGACAUGUAUAUAGCCUUAUCCCUCUGUAUCCUUAAAUAGUUGAAGAAUUAUCAUUCCACAUAGUUCUUGAAUACACAGAUAAAGGUUCUACCUUGUUUUGCCAUCCCAAAUCUGACAAACUUUAACCUCAAAUUGGAAUCCACCAUCAUUUUUUAUCAUUAAUUGUCGUUGAACAAAAUNNNNNNNNNNNNNNNNNNNNNNNNNNNNNNNNNNNNNNNNNNNNNNNNNNNNNNNNNNNNNNNNNNNNNNNNNNNNNNNNNNNNNNNNNNNNNNNNNNNNUAGAGACUAACCUGGGUCAUAGCUAGGGAUGACAAUGAGUAUGUAUGGACUCAGAUAGUGCACUACUCUGAUCUAUCUUGUUCACCCGAUUUUGUCUUCGACCCACAUGAAUAACUGUUUGGUCUGCUAACUCUAGGUCCUUUGAUAUCCAACGGAUCCAUGAGUAUCUAUUAAUUCAUACUGACUUAGGUGAAGAUAACAGUUAUGGUCGACGACGACUUAGACAAACGACCACUCUUGAUGUGGUUUGGGCUCUAGCUAGAAGUUUGUAACCAUGAAUCCUUGACAGAGAUGGUGAGAAGGAUGGAGCGAGAGUGCUAGACUACAUGAGUGUGUGUUUGGGAGUCCAUGGAAGAGACUGAGAGAGGAUGGAUGGAGUCAGACUCAAAUAGUGGGAGCAUAUGAGGGAGGUAGUGAGAACUAGGGAUGACAAUGAAAACCGAACCCAUGGGUACCCGCCCAAACCGAACCCGAAAUUAAUGGGGAAAACCUGAUGUGAUUGGGUUUUGGUUUUACCCGAGUUUAAUUUUCAGAUUCGGGUUUGGUAGAACAAAGAUCCUAACCCAAACCUGCCCCGAUGUAAUGUAAUUCAAUAUAAAAUUGAAAUUUCUAUCAUGUGUCCAUGGUUUUUAAUUUCUAAUUUUACUUUACAUACUAUUGGAUCUUCAAACAUAAAAGAAAUGAAAUAAUACAAGAGAAAAUAGAAAUGCUAGAGAAAAAUGAAACGAAAAUGAUAUCAUACUUUCCUUAGUAUCUAUAUAAUUUUUGGGUUACUCGAAACCCAAUGGGUUCGAGUUCGGGGAUGAUAUCUUUAUUUUCAACCCGUUGAGUUUGGGUUCGAGUUUUGAAUAUCAGGUUUGGGUAUGUGCAAACCCGAAACCACCAUCAUUUUUUAUCAUUAAUUGUUGUUGAACAAAAUCCACUAAACAUAGAGAGUUACUUUAACGAUGAUAUUAAAGAUAAAGAAUAUUAUAUAAAUAGAACAUGUAAGAAGAUAAUGACAUAUGGACAAUGUGUUUAGAAUGAAAAUAUGCUUGACUAAACAAAAUAUUCCUAGUUUUAUUACAAACAUGGGUUAAGAAAACUUGACUAUAAUUACCUUCUUUUUUUUUACAUUUCCAUGUAAGAAUGCUAUUGUAGAUUAGGUCAAAAUAUGACCAUAUUUGGGAAGUAAAAUUGGAAAUUUUAAUAGUCAAGUUUUGAUAGGUAAACAUAGUUACAUGCUAAAGACAUUGUCCAUUUGUUAUUGAAUUUUUACAAGUCCGAAUACAUUUAUAGUCUUUACUUUAAUUUGGUUGAAAUUUUAAAUAUUGGAUAUUGUUUAAGGGAUAUUUAAUUAGUAAAAUAUUUUUGAAUUCUAGUAUGACAACAAAGUUUGUUAUUUUGGGAUGACAAAGCAUGAUAAAGCUUAUAUUUUCCGGCCUGUGCUAAUAUUAAUGGCAUGAUAAUGUUUAGGACAUUUUAUAUUUGGAAUACAUUUUACUAUAUUGUUUUCAUUUCAACAAGAGACUAUGGCUUCUUAUCUUCCUCAUUUUGAAUAAUUUUUGUUUAAGCAAGUAGUCUUGUCCAUUCUACUUCAAAAGAAGUUCUAAAUUGGUGACACAUGAGGUGAGUUUUUAUUCUAUUUUCUAUUCAAAAUAACAUUUUUAUUCAGGCUUUUCUAGAAGUUUGCACUGAAAUAAAUUACUUCUACAAUCCGGAAUAUAAAAAAUAAAAUUGUUAUAAUUAGAUUCUUGUUUAAUAAAUUGAUUGCACCAUUUUGGAGAUGCCACAACCAACCACAUGGGAGACAUUUUGAAUGACAAGUUAAGAAGUUACAACAAAACCACAUUUAGUAAAUCCCUUAAUAUUUUACAUGUGUAUCCAACAUGAAAAAUAAGAAUUUAUAUAAUAGUACUUUUUGAAGAAAAUAGGCGGAGCCCUUACCAUUGUAUAAUAGUUGCUUGCUUAUACGAAUAUGUGAUAAAUUUGAAUAAGUUAUUUUUCAUAUACACUAGUUUAAACCAUGUAUAUAGCCUUAUCACUCUGUAACCCUAAAUAGUUGAAGAAUUGUCAUUCCACAUAGUUCGUGAAUACACAGAUAAAGGUUCUACCUUUUUUUGCCAUCCCAAAUCUGACAAACUUUAACCUCAAAUUGGAAUCCACCAUCAUUUUUUAUCAUUAAUUGUUGUUGAACAAAAUCCACUAAACAUAGAGAAUUACUUUAACGAUGAUAUUAAAGAUAAAGAAUAUUAUAUAAAUGGAACAUGUAAGAAGAUAAUGACAUAUGGACAAUGUGUUUAGAAUGAAAAUAUGCUUGACUAAACAAAAUAUUCCUAGUUUCAUUACGAACAUGGGUAUAGAAAACUUGACUAUAACUACCUUCUUUUUUUUUAAAUUUCCAUGUAAGAUUGCUUUAGUAGAUUAGGUCAAAAUAUGACCAUCUUUGGGAAGCAACAUUGGAAAUUUUAAUAGUUAAGUUUUGCUAGGUAUACACAGUUACAUGCUAAAGACAUUGUCCAUUUGUUAUUGAAUUUUUACAANNNNNNNNNNNNNNNNNNNNNNNNNNNNNNNNNNNNNNNNNNNNNNNNNNNNNNNNNNNNNNNNNNNNNNNNNNNNNNNNNNNNNNNNNNNNNNNNNNNNAUUCAAUGAAAUUACAUCAACAAUCUGGAAUAUGAAAAAAAUGAAAUUGUUAUAAUUAGAUUCUUGUUUUAUAAAUUGAUUGCACCAUUUUGGAGAUGCCACAACAAAAUCACAUAGGAGAAUUUGGAAUGGUAAGUGCAGAUGUUACAACAAAACCACAUUUAGUCAAUCCCUGAAUAUUUCACAUGUGUAUCCAACAUGAAAAACAUGAAUUUAUAUAAUAGUACUUUUUGAAGAAAAUAGGAGGAGCCCUUACCAUUGCAUAAUAGUUGCUUGCUUAUACAAAUAUGUGAUAAAUUUGAAUAAGUUAUUUUUCAUAUACACUAGUUUAAGACAUGUGUAUUGCCUUAUCACUCUGUAACCCUAAAUAGUUGAAGAAUUGUCAUUCCACAUAGUUGUUGUAUACACAGAUAAAGGUUCUACCUUGUCUUGCCAUCCCAAAUCUGACAAACUUUUACCUCAAAUUGGAAUCCACAAUCAUUUUUAUAAUUAAUUUUCGUGGAACAAAAUCCAUAAAACAUAGAAAAUUACUUUAACGAUGAUAUUAAAGAUAAAGAAUAUUAUAUAAAUGGAACAUGUAAGAAGAUAAUCACAUAUGGGCAACGUGAUUAGAAUGAAAACAUUCUUGACUGAACAAAAUAUUCCUAGUUUUAUUACAAACAUGGGUUUAGAAAACGUGACUAUAACUACCUUCUUUUUUUUGCAUUUCCAUGUAAGAUUGCUUUAGUAGAUUAGGUCAAAAUAUGACCAUCUUUGGGAAGCAACAUUGGAAAUUUUAAUAGUCAAGUUUUGAUAGGUAUACAUAAUUACAUGCUAAAGACAUUGUCCAUUUGUUAUUGAAUUUUUACAAGUCCGAAUACAUUUAUAGUCUUUACUUUAAUUUGGUUGUUAAGCUAAUUUUAAAUAUUGAUAUUGUUUAAAGGAUAUUAAAUUAGUAAAAUAUUUUUGGAUUCUAGUAUGACAACAAAGUUUGUUAUUUUGGGAUGACAAAGCAUGAUAAAGCAUAUAUUUUCCUGCUUGUGCUAAUGUUAAUGGCAUGCUAAUGUUUAGGACAUUUUAUAUUUGGAAUACAUUUUACUAUAUUGUCUUCAUUUCAACAAGAGGCUAUGGCUUCUGAUCUUCCUCAUUUUGAAUAAUUUUUUUAUAAGCAAGUUGUCUUCUCCAUUCUACUUCAAAAUAAGUUCUUAAUUGGUGACACAUGAGGUGAGUUUUUAAUCUGUUUUCUAUUCAAAAUAACAUUUUUUAUUCAGGCUUUUCUAGAUGUUUGCAUUCAAUGAAAUUACAUCAACAAUCUGGAAUAUGAAAAAAAUUAAAUUGUUAUAAUUAGAUUCUUGUUUUAGAAAUUGAUUGCACCAUGUUGGAGAUGCCACAACAAAACCACAUUGGAGAAUUUUGAAUGGUAAGUGAAGAUGUUACAGCAAAACCACAUUUAGUCAAUCCCUGAAUAUCUCACACGUGUAUCCAACAUGAAAAACAUGAAUUUAUAUAAUAGUACUUUUUGAAGAAACUAGGAGGAGCCCUUACCGUUGCAUAAUAGUUGCUUGCUUAUACAAAUAAGUGAUAAAUUUGAAUAAGUUAUUUUCAUAUACACUAGUUUAAGACAUGAGUAUUGCCUUAUCACUCUGUAACCCUAAAUAGUUGAAGAAUUGUCAUUCCACAUAGUUGUUGUAUACACAGAUAAAGGUUCUACCUUGUUUUGCCAUCCCAAAUCUGACAAACUUUUACCUCAAAUUGGAAUCCACCAUCAUUUUUAUAAUUAAUUUUCGUGGAACAAAAUCCAUAAAACAUAGAAAAUUACUUUAACGAUGAUAUUAGAGAUAAAGAUAAUUAUAUAAAUGGAACAUGUAAGAAGAUAAUGACAUAUGGGCAACGUGAUUAGAAUGAAAACAUUCUUGACUGAACAAAAUAUUCCUAGUUUUAUUACAAACAUGGGUUUAGAAAACGUGACUAUAAUUACCUUCUUUUUUUUUACAUUUCCAUGUAAGAAUGCUGUUGUAGAUUAGGUCAAAAUAUGACCAUAUUUGGGAAGCAACAUUGGAAAUUUUAAUAGUCAAGUUUUGAUAGGUAUACAUAAUUUCAUGCUAAAGACAUUGUCCAUUUGUUAUUGAAUUUUUACAAGUUUGAAUACAUUUAUAGUCUUUACUUUAAUGUUGUUGUUAAGCUAAUUUUAAAUAUUGGAUAUUGUUUAAAGGAUAUUAAAUUAGUAAAAUAUUUUUGGAUUCUAGUAUGACAACAAAGUUUGUUAUUUUGGGAUGACAAAGCAUGAUAAAGCUUAUAUUUUNNNNNNNNNNNNNNNNNNNNNNNNNNNNNNNNNNNNNNNNNNNNNNNNNNNNNNNNNNNNNNNNNNNNNNNNNNNNNNNNNNNNNNNNNNNNNNNNNNNNUAGAUGUUUGCAUUCAAUGAAAUUACUUCAACAAUCUGGAAUAUGAAAAAAAUUAAAUUGUUAUAAUUAGAUUCUUGUUUUAUAAAUUGAUUGCACCAUUUUGGAGAUGCCACAACAAAACCACAUUGGAGAAUUUUAAAUGGUAAGUGAAGAUGUUACAACAAAACCACAUUUAGUCCAUCCCUGAAUAUCUCACAUGUGUAUCCAACAUGAAAAACAUGAAUUUAUAUAAUAGUACUUUUUGAAGAAAAUAGGAGGAGCCCUUACCGUUGCAUAAUAGUUGCUUGCUUAUACAAAUAAGUGAUAAAUUUGAAUGAGUUAUUUUUCAUAUACACUAGUUUAAGACAUGUGUAUUGCCUUAUCACUCUGUAACCCCAAAUAGUUGAAGAAUUGUCAUUCCACAUAGUUGUUGUAUACACAGAUAAAGGUUCUACCUUGUUUUGCCAUCCCAAAUCUGACAAACUUUUACCUCAAAUUGGAAUCCACCANNNNNNNNNNNNNNNNNNNNNNNNNNNNNNNNNNNNNNNNNNNNNNNNNNNNNNNNNNNNNNNNNNNNNNNNNNNNNNNNNNNNNNNNNNNNNNNNNNNNAAACAUAGAAAAUUACUUUAACGAUGAUAUUAAAGAUAAAGAAUAUUAUAUAAAUGGAACAUGUAAGAAGAUAAUGACAUAUGGGCAACGUGAUUAGAAUGAAAACAUUCUUGACUGAACAAAAUACUCCUAGUUUUAUUACAAACAUGGGUUUAGAAAACUUGACUAUAAUUACCUUCUUUUUUUUACAUUUCCAUGUAAGAAUGCUGUUGUAGAUUAGGUCAAAAUAUGACCAUAUUUGGGAAGCAACAUUGGAAAUUUUAAUAGUCAAGUUUUGAUAGGUAUACACUGUUACAUGCUAAAGACCUUGUCCAUUUGUUAUUGAAUUUUUACAAGUCUGAAUACAUUUAUAGUCUUUACUUUAAUUUUGUUGUUAAGCUAAUUUUAAAUAUUGGAUAUUGUUUAAGGGAUAUUUAAUUAGUAAAAUAUUUUUGGAUUCUAGUAUGACAACAAAGUUUGUUAUUUUGGGAUGACAAAGCAUGAUAAAGCUUAUAUUUUCCGGCUUGUGCUAAUGUUAAUGGCAUGAUAAUGUUUAGCACAUUUUAUAUUUGGAAUACAUUUUACGAUAUUGUCUUCAUUUCAACAAGAGGCUAUGGCUUCUUAUCUUCCUCAUUUUGAAUAAUUUUUUUAUAAGCAAGUAGUGUUGUCCAUUCUACUUCAGAAGAAGUUCUAAAUUGGUGACACAUGAGGUGAGUUUUUAUUCUAUUUUCUAUUCAAAAUGACAUUUUUUAUUCAGGCUUUUCGAGAAGUUUGCACUCAAUGAAAUUACUUCAACAAUCCGGAAUAUCAAAAAUUAAAUUGUUAUAAUUAGAUUCUUGUUUAAUAAAUUGAUUGCACCAUUUUGGAGAUGCCACAACAAAACCACAUUGGAGACAUUUUGAAUGGUAAGUGAAGAUGUUACAACAAAACCACAUUUAGUAAAUCCCUAACAAAACCACAUUGGAGACAUUUUGAAUGGUAAGUCAAGAUGUUACAACAAAACCACAUUUAGUCAAUCCCUGAAUAUUUUACAUGUGUAUCCAACAUGUAAAAAACGAAUUUAUAUAAUAGUACUUUUUGAAGAAAAUAGGAGGAGCCCUUACCAUUGUAUAAUAGUUGCUUGCUUAUACGAAUAUGUGAUAAAUGUGAAUAAGUUAUUUUUCAUAUACACUAGUUUAAUACAUGUAUAUAGCCUUAUCACUCUAUAACCCUAAAUAGUUGAAGAAUUGUCAUUCCACCUAGUUCUUGAAUACACAGAUAAAGGUUCUACCUUGUUUUGCCAUCCCAAAUCUGACAAACUUUAACCUCAAAUUGGAAUCCACCAUCAUUUUUUAUCAUUAAUUGUUGUUGAACAAAAUCCACUAAACAUAGAGAAUUACUUUAACGAUGAUAUUAAAGAUAAAGAUUAUUAUAUAAAUGGAACAUGUAAGAAGAUAAUGACAUAUGGACAAUCUGUUUAGAAUGAAAAUAUGCUUGACUAAAAAAAAUAUUCAUAGCUAUACACAGUUACAUGCUAAUGACAUUGUCCAUUUGUUAUUGAAUUUUUACAAGUGUGAAUACAUUUAUAGUCUUUACUUUAAUUUUGUUGUUAAGCUAAUUUUAAAUAUUGGAUAUUGUUUAAGGGAUAUUAAAGUAGUAAAAUAUUUUUGGAUUCUAGUAUGACAACAAAGUUUGUUAUUUUGGGAUGACAAAGCAUGAUAAAGCUUAUAUUUUCCUGCUUGUGCUAAUGUUAAUGGCAUGCUAAUGUUUAGGACAUUUUAUAUUUGGAAUACAUUUUACUAUAUUGUCUUCAUUUCAACUAUGGCUUCUUAUCUUCCUCAUUUUGAAUAAUUAUUUUAUAAGUAAGUUGUCUUGUCCAUUCUACUUCAAAAUAAGUUCUAAAUUGGUGACACAUGAGGUGAGUUUUUAAUCUGUUUUCUAUUCAAAAUGACAUUUUUUAUUCAGGCUUUUCUAGAUGUUUGCAUUCAAUGAAAUUACUUCAACAAUCUGGAAUAUGAAAAAAAUUAAAUUGUUAUAAUUAGAUUCUUGUUUUAUAAAUUGAUUGCACCAUUUUGGAGAUGCCACAACAAAACCACAUUGGAGACAUUUUGAAUGGUAAGUGAAGAUUUUACAACAAAACCACAUUUAGUCAAUCCCUAAAUAUUUUACAUGUGUAUCCAACAUGAAAAACAACAAUUUAUAUAAUAGUACUUUUUGAAGAAAAUAGGAGGAGCCCUUACCAUUGUAUAAUAGUUGCUUGCUUAUACAAAUAUGAGAUAAAUUUGAAUAAGUUAUUUUUCAUAUACACUAGUUUAAGACAUGUGUAUUGCCUUAUCACUCUGUAACCUUAAAUAGUUGAAGAAUUGUCAUUCCACAUAGUUGUUGUAUACACAGAUAAAGGUUCUACCUUGUCUUGCCAUCCCAAAUCUGACAAACUUUUACCUCAAAUUGGAAUCCACAAUCAUUUUUAUAAUUAAUUUUCGUUGAAUAAAAUCCACUAAACAUAGAGAAUUACUUUAACGAUGAUAUUACAGAUAAAGAAUGUUAUAUAAAUGGAACAUGUAAGAAGAUAAUGACAUAUGAGCAAUGUGUUUAGAAUGAAAACAUUCUUGACUAAACAAAAUAUUCCUAGUUUUAUUACAAACAUGGGUUUAGAAAACUUGACUAUAAUUACCUUCUUUUUUUUGACAUUUCCAUGUAAGAAUGCUGUUGUAGAUUAGGUCAAAAUAUGACCAUAUUUGGGAAGUAAAAUUGGAAAUUUUAAUAGUCAAGUUUUGAUAGGUAAACAUAGUUACAUGCUAAAGACAUUGUCCAUUUGUUAUUGAAUUUUUACAAGUCCGAAUACAUUUAUAGUCUUUACUUUAAUUUGGUUGUUAAGCUAAUUUUAAAUAUUGAUAUUGUUUAAAGGAUAUUAAAUUAGUAAAAUAUUUUUGGAUUCUAGUAUGACAACAAAGUUUGUUAUUUUGGGAUGACAAAGCAUGAUAAAGCUUGUGUUUUCCUGCUUUUGCUAAUGUUAAUGGCAUGGUAAUGUUCAGGACAUUUUAUAUUUUGAAUACAUUUUACUAUAUUGUCUUCAUUUCAACAAGAGGCUAUGGCUUCUUAUCUUCCUCAUUUUGAAUAAGUUUUUUAUAAGCUAGUAGUCUUGUCCAUUCUACUUCAAAAGCAGUUCUAAAUUGGUGACACAUGAGGUGAGUUUUUAUUCUGUUUUCUAUUCAAAAUAAAUUUUUUUAUUUAGGCUUUUCUAGAUGUUUGCACUCAAUGAAAUUACUUCAACAAUCCGGAAUAUCAAAAAUUAAAUUGGUAUAAUUAGACUCUUGUUUAAUAAAUUGAUUGCACCAUUUUGGAGAUGCCACAACAAAACCGCAUUGGAGACAUUUUGAAUGGUAAGUGAAUAUGUUACAACAAAACCACAUUUAGUAAAUCCCUGAAUAUUUUACAUGUGUAUCCAACAUGAAAAACAAGAAUUUAUAUAAUAGUACUUUUUGAAUAAAAUAGAAGGAGCCCUUACCAAUGUAUAAUAGUUGCUUGCUUAUUCAAAUAUGUGAUAAAUUUGAAUAAGUUAUUUUUCAUAUACACUAGUUUAAGACAUGUAUAUAGCCUUAUCACUCUGUAACCCUAAAUAGUUGAAGAAUUGUCAUUCCACAUAGUUGUUGUAGGCUUGAGUAACAACAACUUAAGCAAGGACAUACAAUUCUAUUAGGAUUUUCAGCAUUCUCAAUUGCAAACCUAACAAAUGAUUUCACUCAUUCCUCAUAUCCCUUCGUCAAUCGAUUGACACUCAUCUAUUUUCGAUCCAUUUUCUAUUAAAAAAAUAUAUAAUGAGAAUAAAUCACUUAAGCUAAAGCUUGGAGUUAAGCUCACCAAGCAGAGCAAAUACAUUAUUAUGUAAUUAAAGUGAAAGCGGUCGGAAACCCAACUCAAUACAAGCUAAAUGAGUGAAAUCACUUUCACUCAUUUAUAGGGAAAAUAUUUAUAAGUCAAUACAUAAAUAUAAUGUUAUUAAAAAGGGAAAUCAAUUUAAGGAAAAAUCACUUUCAAUUCAGCGUUCAAUGCGUGAAAGCUGAUUUUGAGGUUAAACGAGUGAAGGAUUUUCGAUACCGGCGAAGAAGGGAUUUGGCAUUGAAUGAGUGAAUGAUAUUCGAAAUUUGGUGUUGAAUGAUAAUGAGAUUGAAUAAUUGUCGAUGUCGAUUUUGAGAGUAAAUGAAUUUCGCUGUUGAGUAAAUGAGUGUUGGGAUAGCUAAAUGUUUGAGAAUAUUAUGGGAACAAUUUAAUUUUUUAGGAUCUGAUAGCAUAUUCAAUAGUGCAUAUUGAACAUAGGGCUGUCGAUGAUACCUAAUCAAUAGUGCCACCUAAAAAUAGCGUUAUGGAAGAACUACCCAUUUAAAUAUAAAGAAGGUAAGUAUUCAAUAGUGCUUUUAUACGAAUGCACUUUUGAAUUAAACGUAAUCAACAAUGCAUUGUUAAAGAAGCAUUGUUGUAUAGUUAUAACAACAACGCAUUCAUAAAAAAAUGUUAGGGACGAACUCCCCACUCAAAUAUAAAGAAGUUAAGUAUUCAAUAGUGCUUUUCUACGAAUGCAUUGUUGAAUUAAAUAUAAUCAACAACACAUUGUUAAAAACGAUGUUAUAUAGGUAUAACAACAACGCAUUCGUAGAAAAGCAUUGUUGAAGACCAUUAUUCCUAAUUCUACACAUAGCACACAACAUAAAAUAAGCUGAAUGCAUACAGAAACAUAAUCAAACAACAAACUGAAUGGAUACAGACAUACCAAAUCACAUUUAUAUGAAAAUAAUUGAAUUUAUAUAUUGAACAUUAAUUACACUUUAAUGUUACAUAAAUAUAUAUUACAUACACCAAGUCAUAUACAUUACAUUGAACAUUAAUUGAAUUUCCCAAGCUACAAUCUGUGCAAAAAAUCUACUAUACCUAAUUGCCAACACAACUAAGUAUAGACUUUGACCAAUGUUCUCUAAUCUGGUUGACUUGACCAUCUAUAUAUGAUUUGCCAACAAACUUGAUUUCAUUAGUUGGACAUUGCUGAAUGAUCUCCUUCGUAAAAUUCAGCACGUAAUAGCUGAAAUCUACCUCGUUUUUUUGGCAAGGGGUCUACAAUUAAAAUGAAGUAAAUAUAUAAGUAUAACCUUAGUUAAAAUAUGAAUACACUACACAUAUAAUUGUUUGGCAUGAUUUGUGCCUAUACCUUUAUAUGAGUCCACUUGAUUUUGUGUUGUGGUAUCGUUUUUCUAGAACGAUUAAAGCCUCUAAAAACUCUCGCCACACUAAACAAUAGAAAAUGUACUUAAUUACGAAACAACUAGGAAAGCGAAAGUGUAACUAAAAGUUUAAAUGAGUAGUUCACUUACUUAGAAAACAAUUCUUUCAUAGCGUGGUACUUGUCCGGAUCACCAUGUGCCAAUGAGUCAAAGUUGUAUAUUUCUUCAUUGACCCGAUUGAUGGCAACCAAAAUCCAAUGAAGUCUAAAAAAACAUAUGUACAUGGUUAGGAAAUGUUAAGAACAACAAACAUACUAAAGAUAGAAAUAUAAAAGACAAUUAAAAAAUGCUCGCCCGAUAUUAAAAGGUGUAAGAAAUAAAUUUGUAGCUUCUUUAUGAAUGAGGAGAGUAUCUGCAAUUUGUUUUGUCUAUUCCCCAAUCUUAUUUUUGUCACUGGACACCAAAGCGGUAAUGUAUGGGGAUAUGCACAUCACAUUUUUCUUAUUUACCGAAACAACAUUUUCAUACAAGUACCUAAUAUAUAUAACACAAAUGUUAGUUAAUUAUAACACACCGCCAUGCAAAAACGAUAAGUUAAGAAAACAUAACUUACCUCAUAUAUACACAUAUAGUAGUUGCACCUAUCCAUUCAUGAUUAUUUACAUCCUCGACUACAUUGAUGCUAACGUAUUCUUCAGCAUCAAUCUCGAAGACUUCCUUGGGAAUUGAUAUAGUUAUUAUAUCAUCUCCCAACUUCUAUACAUGCUCAAACACCUGAGUACAAUAAUUGGUAGUCUUCUUUGAGCUCACAUCUCCGGUAGAUGGGAUCUAGCUCACAUCCCUCAAAGAUGGCUUGGUCUUUUGGGUGCUACUAGGGUAGAAUGUACAUUUUCCUGAAAUAUUUAAUAAAAACCAUAUCAAUUAUAGAUGAAUAUAUACAUAUAUAUAUAUAUAUNNNNNNNNNNNNNNNNNNNNNNNNNNNNNNNNNNNNNNNNNNNNNNNNNNNNNNNNNNNNNNNNNNNNNNNNNNNNNNNNNNNNNNNNNNNNNNNNNNNNUAUAUAUAUAUAUAUAUAUAUAAUAUGAGUGAGCAUAAGGUGAAAAAUCAUACCUUUUAAGGAAUUACUUGUACAAGGUCUUCAGGCUAAGCCACAAAAGUGUCUAUAGCCCCUCCAACUAUGAAGAUAUCCUCAUCGAGAGGAAUUGACAGCAACACAUCAUCAUCUAUUGCAACAUCAAUCGAGACCUUCACAUAAUUGCAUGGAAUAUGUGCAUUAUGCAGCAUAGAAUCAAUCGACUUGUGCAUUUUCCCCACACCCACUACUCGGCUAGUUGGGGUAUCCAGGUAAAGUUUGCAAGAACUGAUUCCCUAUACGUAAGUUAAAACAUAUAAUUAGUUAACGACUAAAAACUAAAUGUCAAAUAAAUUAAAAUAAGUUAACUAAACUACCUCAGAAAUGGGAAUCGGGAUGAGAAUGUUGUAAGGUGAAGGUGAAAUGAGAAUAUUGUCAGGUGAAUGUGUGCAAAUCUCAUUGAUGGUUGCAAGAACAAUGCCAACAACACUAGCUAGUCGUUGCCACUCAGCUUCCUUUACCUUCAUUGAUUGCUCAAAUUCAUUGAAUCAUUGCAUGAGGCCAUCCAAUUGAUUUUGAACCUGGCUCAUUUGGGCUUUGGUUGCACGCUUGGGAUGAGUUAUAAAUGUUUGCUGGCUAACCCCAAAUCAUGCACCUCAAAUACGGCCAGGGUAAAUAGGUAGUCCUAGUGCCUUAUCAAGUAUUAUGCGACUAUUCGACCAUGCCUUGUUUUCUUUUAGGGCAAUCUCACAAAUAUAGAAAAACUUAAUGUUAUUUAAUCACAUUUUGAUAAAUAAAUUAUGGAAAUUAAGUAUAACUAAAAAAUGAGCACUUACAACAUGUCUUACCGCUUCUUGAACUUGAUCAUUAUCGAUGACACCAUCCUUGUUCUUACGGGCAUCUAUCCAUAGAACAUCGAGUUCUACUAUAUGUGGAGUCAUAGUUGUAUUUCUUUUGUUGUUCAACUACCAAAACAUAACCAAUAAUAAUAUAAUUAGAUAUAUAUGCAUACAAAACAAAAUCAUUAAUAUACUUACAGAUUAACAAUACUUAUAAUGAUUUCCUCAAUAACUUCAUACCUCGCUCGAGAAGCUCGAUAUGGAUACAAAGGCUUAGAUGCCCUCUUGCAAUUUUUAUUACUUAAUUUCUGAAACAAAAAUCAUAUAUGUAUAUACAAAAGUCAAUACAAAGAAUAUGAUUUUAUCAAGAAAGACUUGUCUUGUGUACGUAGGGUGACAAAAGUCUUCCAAUCAUCUUCUUCAACGAUAUUUGCUUAUUUUGUCCGAGGUUUCAGGUUGACAUUGCCAUCAGCAUCUGUAAGUAAAGUAAUUUUCUAGCAUCAUUUCGGAAUUGUCGGAGAGUCUUGCAAGCCGAUUUAAGGAUAUAAUCGUUAUGCUCCUCACCAACAUCAAAAGUUGACUGAAAACACAUAUACAUUAACUAUAUUGCAUACAAACACAUGUAUAUACGUACAUUGCAUGAAAACAUAUACAUACAUUGCAUGAAAACACAAAAACUGAAAAAGAAACUUACUCUUAUUUCAUUCCAAAUAUGCUCCUUCACGACAUUCCCUACAUCAGUCCAUUUGUUGAAUGUUAGCUUCACAUUCUGCCUAACCACAACCCCUAUGUAGUCUACCAAUGAGUUGCCAACCUCUGAGUUUAAUGGUUGGCCUUUUGAGUUUCAUUGAACUUCUAUCUUCACAUCCUUAUUUCUUGCCCGAAUGACAUUCUUCAUGGAAGUCAUUCCACGUGCAGUUCAUUUUUUAGCAAUGAUUUGCUUGUCUUGUAGAGUCGAUGUAGCUUCGUCACCAUUGUGAGAACCAUGAUCGCCACUUUGGGAAGCCAUUGAUGAAGAUUUUUUAGGUUUAUGUGAGUAUGAGGAUUUCUUUUCGAUUAAGUUUGAGAACAUAGAGGGAACUGAUUCAUCUUUUAGAUAUUUAAACUGUAGUAACAAUUCAACAGCGUAUAUUAAAGAUAGCACUGUUGUAUUGCAUCUUCAAUAACACAUAUUAACGAUAGCAUUGUUUUACUGACAUCUUCAACAACGCUUCUUAAGGGUUGCACUGUUGUUGUGUAUCCAGUUGAUUACUACUGAUUUUCAUAAACACAUCAACAAUGCUUCCUGGAUGAUGCAUUGUUGGAUAUAAUCUAAUUGACAUGGCUAUCUCAACUAUGCACUAUUGAAUAUAAUCUACUUGACAUCACUAUCUUAACUAUGCGCUUUUGAAUAAAAUCUAAUUGAUAGCACUAUCUUAAUUAUGUGUUAUUAAACUUAACUCAUUUUCCAAAUUAACAGCGUAUUCGUAAUUAUACCCUGUUAAAAUUACAUUUUAUAUUACGGGUCAAAAUAUAUACAACAUGGAUAUACGUUAAUUAACAUAAAGUUACGAUGAAGUAGAUUAUCGUACUAUUGUGUUUAUUAAUAAGAAACUGCAAAAUUAUUAAACAUUAAGUUUUGUUCAUUUGUUUUUUUGUGUUUAUUAUGUUUUGUUAUUUUUUAUUGUGUUUAUUAACAUGAAACUGCAAAAAUAAAAAAUAAAAUAACCAUUCAAAUAAAUAACAAAAAAAAAAGAAAUUAACAUCUAAAAUAAAUGUUCAUUUUUCAUUCAAAGAGGCAAAAUACUUUAUAAAGAACUAAACGAUUUGGUAGAUUACAAUGAACCGAGUGAAGAAAAUCAAUGAAAUAAAUAAUCUCCAGAUUAAAUCUUCAUCUCGCGGAAAUCUUGUAUAACAACCACUUCCCUUCUGAAAUCAAGGUCGAAAUUGAAAAUCAAAAGAUGUUAAAGACAUCCUUGACAAGAUUUCAAUGAAGGAAAUUAAUGACCUGAAUGAAUGAAGAAAAUCAAUGAACUAAAUAUUUUACAACUUAAUUCUUUAUCUCACACAAAUCUUGUAUAACAAUCACUUUAAUUUCCUUAUAAAAUCUUGAUUUGGUAUAUUACAAUGAAGGAAAUAAAUGAACUGAAAGAUUUGGUAGAUGAAUGAACUAAAUAAUCUACAGAUUCAAUCUUCAUCUAACACAAAUAUUGUAUAACAACCACUUUCCUUUUGAAAUUUAGGUCCUUUUUCCAAAUCAUAACAUGUUAAAUACCUCCUUGACAUGAGUUUGAAACAGAAACACAAGUUUAUCACUUUUAACACUUCAAGUUGUUGAGAUCUGUUCUCUGCUAUCUUCAUGAACAUACUCCUAGAGAAACACAUAUUCUUGCUGAUGAAAUAGAAUGUGGAGUGAACCACAAUAUUUAUAGAGUAGCAACCAUUAAUAAUUCAACAAACAAAGAGAGCCUAACCACUCAACAUUAAUAUUUCAACAAUGAAGAGAUGCAGAACCACUCAACCAUUAAUAUUUCAACAAAAGAAGAGAUGCAUAACCACUCAACCAUUAAUAUCUCUGACACUUAAAAAUUCGUAUAAAAUCAACAUCGCAUAAUUAAGAAAGCAUUAUUAUUAUGUUAUCUUCUACAACGGUUUCUUAUUUAUGCGCUACGGAAUUUAUUAACAUUAACAUCGCUUUCUAUCAAAUACGUUGUUAAACAUAACUCAUUCAAGCCAACGCAAACGUUAAUGAUGUUCAACAACAUUGUGUCAAGAAUGCGUUAUUGAAGUUACACACAUUGACAACACUUGCUUUAAUAUGCGUUGCUGAAGUUCUUCUUCCUCGUUUUCAACAGCGUCGUUCAAAAUUAUAUUGUUGAAUGACCAUUUUUUAUGACGAUAUCUGGCAUAGUGAUGGGUCAUAGUUAGGGAUGACAAUGGGUAUGUGUGGGCUCAGAUAGUGCAUUGCUUAGAUCUCCUUCGUUCACUCAAUUUUGCCCUGGAACCGCAUGGAUAACCGUUUGGUCUCCUGAUUAUGGAUCCUUGGGUAUCCAGCGGAUCCAUGAGUAUCUAGAAAUUCACAGCGACUUAGGUGGAGAUAAUAGUUAUGAUCGACGACAACUUAGACAAAGACCAUUCUCGAUGGUGGUUUGGGCUCUAGGGAGAAGUUUGUGACCAUGAAUCCUUGAUAGAGACAAUGAGAAGGAUGGAGUGAGUGUGCGAGACUGCAUGAGCGUGUGUCUGUGAGUCCAUAGUAGAAACUGAGAGAGGAUGGUUGGAGUAUCAAACUCAAAUAGUGGGAGCAUGGGAGAUAAGUAGUGAGAAUGAAGAGACUGGAUUGAGACUAUGAGAGUCACUAUGAGUUUGUGGUUGUGUUUUAGUAUGUUAUUGUUCAUGAUUUUUCUUUUUAGGUUUUGGAAGCUAUUGAGGAAUUAAAUAUUUAAAUUUAUGGGUCAGGGAACCAUGUGGGUACCAUAUUACUGGAUUUAUCUUGUUCAGUAGUAGCUUUAAAUAAUCCCUGGCCCCAAUUAUCCAGGGUUCAAAAAUCACUAAUCUGGACCAGAUCCAUUGCAGAUAUUACCCAAUGGUUCCUGCGUGUUUGGGUACCCAUUAUCAUCCUUUGUCAUGAUACAUUUCUUUGGAUAGUGAAGUGAGUUUUCCAAUUUUUGGGCAAUAGAAAGUUAGGCUCAAAAAUCUAAAGGGAAUGAAGUAGGGUUUUACUCGUUAUAAGAUUGGUUUGACUUUCCAUAUACUAAGUAGCAACUUGCAAUGUUUUAAUAAGCUGAUAGUCAUUGAAUAUGUGAAAGCAUUAGUUCAUAGUUUGUGACUUUGAUUCUUAUUGCUGGUGUGACCACCUCGUUUGCAUGUACUUUAUAAAGAGUUAUAUAGUCGUUAGGCCUAUGUUGAACCUAGUGAGUCCUCGUGACUCAAUCCAUACAAAAUUAUGCAAAUGCAAUGUGAUGUUGAUUGCAAAAAGGUUACAGGAGGCUACUUCUUGGUUAGUCAAGAUUUGCAUAUGAACUCUAAAGUAGUUAUAUAAAUAUGGAAGUACAAUGGUUUAAGUAGACACAAUUAGAUUGAAUCUCUUAUUCUAGGCUACAACAAGGAUGAGUGAGGACAUUGGAUCUACAUGAGUUGACUGUCAUAGGAUGUUUUAUUUACAAUGAUGACAUACCUAUUCAUGAUGUUGGAGUGGGGUGGUAGGACGAUAAUUGAUGGAGAAAGUGGUGGCCAACUUGGUAAGGGUCCAAUGUUCACUCUAUCUUAUUUGAUGUGCUAAAAACCUAGUCAAGAUUUGACAACAUGAAUGGAAAAAUAAAGAUAACUGGAAAUUCUAUGCAAGCAGAACCCACACAACUUUACAAUAUUAAAAUAUGAUUGUUAAAUUAACAAUUGAGAUUCGAUAAUGAUACAAAUAAAUAGAUUUGACGGCCGCACAUAGAAAAAUAAAAAAGCACAUGAAUUAAAUAAAAUUUUUGUAUACAUAUUCAAAGUCCCACACCGUCUAAGAUUAAAUUUUUAAUCCUCUUAUUUACAUAUAAAUAGACCCUUAAUGCUACUAAUCAAAAUGCACAUGUGUGCUAAAGGAGAAACUUUGGUGCAUGGAACAACAUAAUGAGGUCGAAGAAUAAGGUAACUUCUUUUACUUAAUCUAUUUAAUUUUUUUCCUUUUCUAUGCUUAUAUUUAUAUUUAUGUUCAUUGAUUUUAUAUAAAAGAUGUGGGAAUAAGAUAAUAAAUAUUUUAUGAAUUUUGCAAUGCAUUUUCUCUUCAUAGUUGAUGAUAUUUUUUCUUCCUUUUCAUUAUAAUUAUUAUCUAAGCUUUUCGAGAAACUUAUUUCUAUCACUUUAUUUUAAAGUUUAUAAUAUCCAUGUUUCUUCGUUAGUGUUAGAUCUUCCUCACUCUUAUAUAUUUUACAAUUUUGUUUUCAUUUCAUCAUAACUCCCUAUCAACUUAUGUUACAUUUUUGGUCUGGUGGGUUAUCUACUAAAAUGUGUGAGAAGAAGUUCUGUAUUGAAGACGCUAGGUUCUAAUUCUUCCUUCAAAAUAAUUUACAAUCAUAUUUGUAUUCCAUUUUAAGCAAAAAAAAUUUGAUUUUUUGUUGUUGAUAGGUUGAUCAUUGUGAGGUUGAAUCUCAUAAAAAGUUCUAUCCAGAUUUUUUCUCAUCAUAGGGAUAAGGAAUGAGGUGUAUGACUAUCACUCUCAGGAAACAGCUUCUUAUAUUUUGAUAAGCUCUAUCCAGUUAAGUCAGAGGAACUAUGAGGUAUAAAUAUUAUAGUUGGUUAUAUUCAUAUAACGAGACUCAAGUGGUUAUAAUUAUGUUCUUAUUUUAUAAAGCAUUGAUUGCAACAUUUUGGAGAUGCCACGACAAAACCACAUUUCAUACAAUUUGAAUGUUAAGUAAAUAUGUUACAACAAAACCAUAAUAUGUAAGUCAAUGAAUAUUUUACAUUUGUAUGCAACACGAAGAACAAGAAUUUAUAUUAUAGUACUUUUUGAAGAAAAUAGGAGGAGCCCUUACCAUUAUUUAAUAGUUUGCUUGCUUAUACAAAUGUGUGAUAAAUUUGAAUAAGUUAUUUUUUAUAUACACUACUUUAAGACAUGUAUAUAGCCUUAUCACUCUAUAACCCUAAAUAGUUGUAGAAGUGUCAUUUCAUAUAGUUCUUGAAAUACACCUAGAAAGACUCUACCUUGUUUUGUCAUCCCAAAACUGGCUAACUUUAAAGUCAACUUGAAAUCCACCAUCAUUUUUGCUCAUUAAUUGUCUUCGAACAAAAUCCACUAAACAUAGAAAAUUACUUUGACGAUGAUAUUAAAGGUAAAAAAUAUUGUAUAAAUAGAACAUGUAAGAAGAUAAUGACAUAUGGGCAAUAUCUUUAUAAUGAAAAUAUGUUUGACUAAACAAAAUAUUCCUAAUUUUAUUACAAACACGGGUUUAUAAAACUUGACUAUAAUUACUUUUUGGUUUUCACAUUUCCAUGUAAGAUUGUUGUUGUAGAUUACGUCAAAAUAUGACCAUAUUAGGGAAGAAACAUUGGAAAUUUUAAUAGACAAAUUUUGAUAGGCAUAAAUACUUACAUGCUAAAGACAUUGUCCGUUUGUGAUUUAAUUUUUACAAAUCUGAAUACAUUUGCAGUCUUUACUUUAACUUUGUUGUUUAGCUAAUUUUAAUUAUUGGAUUUUGUUUAAGGGACAUUAUAUUUGUAAAUAUUUUUGGAUUCUAAUAUGAAAACAAAGUUAACUAUUUUCGGAUGACAAAUCAUGAUAAAGCUUAUAUUUUCAUGAUUGUGCUAAUGUUAAUGGCGGAAUAACGUUUAGGACAUUUUAUAUUUGGAAUGCAUUAAAUUUUACGUUAUUGUCUGAAUUUCAACAAGAGGCUAUGGCUUUAUCUUCCUCAUUUGGAAUAAAUUUUAGAUAUUGUUCUUCCUUUUAUCCUAUAUUCAUUGGUGUUGCAUCACUAUUGUGAGCUGAUAUAAUUACAAUGGUCACCUGAACUGCAAUAGUACGACCACAUCUCAUAAUGCAUUCCACAAUUUGAUACAAUGAAACAUAAACUAUCUAACAAAAUAGAAACUACAUCCAUCAACCCUAUAAACAUAAUUUACAUAGACGUCAUUAUUUGUAUUACAAAUGGUUGAUGACAUCCAAACUUUUUGCAUGUAAUAAGUUAGGACAUAAGAAAGGAUAGAGUUCACAAGAAUAAGUCUCCCAAUUAUGUGGUUCAUUUGAGGAUCCUUAAUCACACUGAAGUCCAAAGCUUUGGGGCAAGACAUAGAGCAACAUACUACAUCCUUCAUCGUGAAAUAUCGAUUGCUUGUUGAAUCCUGCUAAUUGGGCAAGACAUAGAGACAUAAAACGUUUCUCAAAGCGUAUAGUCUAAUUGUAGUUUAGGUUAUGGUUAGAGCUGACAAAAUUCUCCACAAUUCACAUUCAUCAAAUUCAAGAAAAUUAUACCCAUCAAUUGGAAUUAAUGGAUUUAAAUUAUAUUCAUCCAUUAUUUCUAAUGAUUAUUCAUGGAUAUAUCUAUUUUGAUGGAUAUCCAAUCCAUCCAAAAAAUAAACAUUAAAAAACAAUGUUCUUUACUUUUCAAUUUUAUUUAUCAUCUCAACUCUCACUUUCUUCUAGUGUUUCUCACUUUCACAUUGAUUUUUUUUUUUUAAAUUGAUACUAAUUAUAGGAUAUGUAGAUAAGAUUAAUAUUAAAAGUUUAUUCUUAAAUGUAUAGAAAUGUAUUAAAAGUUUAUUCUUAAAAAAUUUACAUAAACACCCUUGAAUGUCUCAUGCUUUUAAAAUACUGAAAAGAAUAAUAAUUUUUUUAAAGUUCCAAAAAUCAUGUAACCAACAUUAUGGAAUAGACGUAAGAUAGAUGAACUUCUGAUACUCGAACUCUUGCAUCAAUUAUUAAGAAAGUGGAAAACAAUGUCUCAAUCUAAAUUCAAAUAGACAAAGUUCAAUACAUGCGAGAACCACUUAAUAAAACAUCAAUUGCUCCUAACUAUAAUAAGGCCACAUAUAUUCUAUGAAGUAACGCUUCUAUUUGUACCAACAAAACUUAACACUAAUAAGUAAAAUACAAUGUAGUUAAAGUUUAAAAUAUAUAUUUUAAUGUAAUAUUAAUAAAGUGAUUUUAAAAAAUGUUUGAUUAAAAUAAUGGAUUUUUAAAAAAUGAUUUUUUUAAAAAUGUUUUUAUUUCAGUUAAAAAAUCUAAGAGAUUGGAUAUCCACCAUCCAAUCAAUUAAAACAGAUUAAUGAAUAGAUUGGAUGAAUUACAAUCCAUUCAUUAAGUUUGGAUAUGGAUGGAUUGGAUCAUUCAACAUAAUAUUUAAAUAGAUUGGUAGAUGACUUUACAUUCAUUAGGAUCCAAUUGAAUCUAUUUGUCAUCUCUAGCCAUGGUUUCGACAGUUAUGAAAUGGGAUUGGAUAGUUGAUACUCCAAAAAGAUAAUUUUAAAAGUGGAUUUCAAUCCAUAUUUAAUGUGUGACUAAAUAUAUUUGUGUGGUGGUCAUCAUGGUCGAAUCAUAUUUGAUUAUAAUAAAGGUAGCACUUGUGCAUAUGAAAAAUUUGUAAUAUAAUUGCUAGAAGAAAAUAUGAAGUCAAAUAAGAGAUUCUUAAAAAUUUAUAAUUAAUGUUUAAGCAUUAUAUAUUUUAAUAAAAUCAAAUUAGUUAUUUAUUUAUUGGAUUAUGCAAUAAGUGGUUGAAUCUUGAUAUAGAACAAUUUUCCCUUUUCCCCAUGGAAAAAACGAAAGACCCCAUCAACCCUAAAAAACAAAAGAAAGUGUGUCAAGCAUUUUGGAAAAAGUCCAAAACAAGGAGAUAAAAAAAUGAUCAUUGCAUUUACGAGAAAUUAUUACAUCGUCGGGUACUUAAUUAUGAAAAUGUGAUUAACACUAUUAGUCCAGAACACUAUAAGAUUUGUUUCCAGAUUUCUUCGAAAAGUUAAAAUUAGGUAAUGUAAUGAACUGACAGUGUAAAGUUUUUUAUAAUGUUAACACAUUAUCCACCACCAUUAAUUUGUAUUACUUUUUCUUGACAAUCAAUUGAUAAUUAAUAUAUGAAUGAUAAAUGAUUUAUUGAAAGUGUAAAAAACAUUUACACUGUCAGUAUAUACAUAUUAAAUCCAUAUGCUAUUUUUUUCCAAAAUGCUUUUGUAAUAUUUAUACUCUAAAAUGUUCAACUUAAAAUGCAAAUAAGAUAAUAUAUUCAUUGUUGCAAAAAUGAGAAUGUUGCAUUUGUUGAGUAGAUGUAUUAGACAAGAUAUGAUUAUGAAUAUAUUAGAGAGAAAAUUAGGUAGCUCCUAUUGUAGAAAAGAUCAUAGAAUCACACCUUAAGUAGUUUGAGCAUGUAUGGAAGAGACCAUUAGAAGUCCCAAUAAAGAGAGUAAAUCAAAAGUGGUUAGUCUUAGUUACAAGUGUAGAUCAAUAGAACGCCUGUACAAUUUCUAGAGAUAUAGGGCAGUCAAAGUCAAGAAAAACUAUAGGUGAAAUAAUUAGAAAAAUGUUAAAAAUCAAUGUUUUGUUAAUGAACAUAAUUUAUGAUAGAAUAUUAUUGCGUCAUUCGAUCUAUGUGUAGACCUCACUUAAUUAUUCCAUGGUGGAAACUACGCGAUUCCAUCUCACAUACUUAACAUUGCAAGUAUGCACUUUGGUUAACUUUUAACACUGAUUUCUAAGGGUAGGGACUAACCUCGGUCAUAGCUAGGGAUGACAAUGAGUCUGUAUGGGCCCGGAUAGUGCACUACUCAGAUCUGCCUCAUUCACCCGAUUUUGUCUUGGACCCGCAUGAAUAACUGUUUGUUCUGCUAACUGCAGGUCCUUUGAUAUCCAGUGGAUCCAUGAGUAUCUAUUAAUUCAUACUGACUUAGGUGAAGAUAACAGUUAUGGUUGACGACGACUUAGACAAACAACCACUCUUUAUGGUGGUUUGGGCUCUAGGUAGAAGUUCGUAACCAUGAAUCCUUGACAGUGAUGGUGAGAAGGAUGGAGCGAGAGUGCGAGACUACAUGAGUGUGUGUUUGUGAGUCCAUGGCAGAGACUGAGAGAGGAUGGUUGGAGUGUUAGAAAGUGGGAGCAUAUGAGCGAGGUAGUGAGAACUAGGGAUGACAAUGAAAAUCGAACCUGUGGGUACCCACCCAAACCGAACCCGAAAUUAACGGGGAAAAUCCGAUGUGAUUGGGUUCGGGUUUUACCCGAGUUUAAUUUUCGGGUUCGGUAGAACAAAGACCAUAACCCAAACCUGUCCCGAAGUAAUGUAAUUCAAUUUAAAAUUGAAAUUUCUAUCAUGUGUCCAUGGUUUUUAAUUUUACUUUACAUACUAUUGGAUCUUCAAACAUAAAAGAAAUGAAAUAAUACAAGAGAAAUAGAAAUGCUAGAGAAAAAUGAAACGAAAAUGAUAUCAUACUUUCCGUAGUAUAUAUAUAAUUUUCGGGUUACCCAAAACCCGACGGGUUCGGGGAUGAUAUCUUUAUUUUCAAUCCCGUUGAGUUCGGAUUCGAGUUUUGAAUUUCGGGUUUCGGUAUGUGCAAACCCGACCCCGACCCCCCCGCCAUUCCUAGUGAGAAUAUAGAGACUAAAAUGAGACAAUAAGAGUCACUAUGAAUUUGUGGUUGUGUGUUAGUAUGUUAGUGUUCAAGAUUUUCCUAUUUAGGUUUUAGAAGCUAUUUAGGAAUUAAAUAUUUAAUUUUACGGGUCAAGGUACUCGCGGGUGUGGGUACCAUAUUACUGGAUCUAUCCCAUUCACUAGUAGCAUUAAAUAAUCCAUGGCCCCUAUUAUCCAUGGGAUCAAAAUCACCAAUCCAUACUAGAUCUAUUUCAAAUAUUACCCAAGCGUUCCUAUGUGCCUGGAUACCCAUUGUCCUUUUUUGUUAUGAUACACUUCUUUGGAUACUAAAGUGAGUUUUGAAAUUUUUUGGGAAAUAUAAAGGCAGGCACAAAAAUCUAAAAGGAAUGAAGUAGGUAUUUACUCGUUAUAAAAUUGGUUGGAUUUUCCAUAUACUUAGUAGCAACUUGCAAUGUUUUAAUAAACGAAUAGUCAUUGAAUAUGUGAAAGUAGUAGUUCAUAGUUUAUGGUUCGACCAUUGGUUCAAUUGGUAAGUAUUCAACUCAUGGUCCACAUGAUUGUGACUUUGAUUCUUAGUGAUGGUGUGACAAUCUCGUUGGUAGGUACUUUAUACAUUGUCAUUGACUCAUUAGGCUUAUGCUGAACUCAGUGAGUCCUCGUGACUCAACUCACACAAUGUUAAGCAAAUGCAAAGUGACGUUGAUUGCAAAAAGGUUUCGGGAGGCUACUUCUUGGAUAUUCGAGAUUUGCAUAGGAAAUCUAAAUAGUUCUAUAAAUAUGGAAGUACAAUGUUAUAAGUAGACUGUUGAAAGCGUUAUUCGUUGGUUAUUUUAGUUGGGAGUUUUCUUCUCUCAAAAAAUAGUCCUGAAAGUAGUGUCAAUUUGUUGAAAGAUUAAUACUCUCAUUUUCGUUAUGUUCCUUUUGUAAGUAAGAGAACUCGGUUUUAUUCUUUGUUCGCCAUCUCGGCUUUGUUAGAAUAAAUUCCAACGCCGGGAUAAUGGUUUCAAGAAUAUUCCAGUUACAACUUACUUUCUUAAUAAUCNNNNNNNNNNNNNNNNNNNNNNNNNNNNNNNNNNNNNNNNNNNNNNNNNNNNNNNNNNNNNNNNNNNNNNNNNNNNNNNNNNNNNNNNNNNNNNNNNNNNUACUCCCUUUCGGGUUCAUUUUAUUAACAAACCAAACUUCUUCCUUAAGGAAGGUUGGUAUUAAAGAAUAUAAUGUGGAAAGUAAAUAACAAUAAAUAAAAGUUAGUAAGUUAGUUUCAUCACUUUUGUAUAUUAAAAGGUGUUUUCAACAAAUAAAUUUAUUGAUAAUAUUUUACUAUUUUAUAAUUUACACCUCUUUCAAGAUUCAAUUCUAGUAUCGUAUAGGAUUAUGUCGAACCAUAAGGAAUUGCCUAAUAAAAUAAAUCAUAUAAAUAUGUCAAUGCACAAAUAAUGGAGUUGAACAUAUUUUGAUUGGUUUUUGUAUAAAGUGAAUAUCAACAAGUAAACAAUGAACAUAAAACUAGAUAUUACCAAAUGCUUGAGGAGACAAGAUCAUUUUGAAUAAGGAAAAUAUAUUUCUCAACUUCUUGUGUGUUUGAACUACUUAGACAAGUUCUUAUGUUUUACUUUGGUUAACCCCAAACACCAAGGUCUGAAAUCCUCCUUUUAGUGUAAAUCCUAAAAUGGUAGAAUGAUAAACACUUAUAUUCAUUACUUAAGCAAUACUACAACCAUAUAAGAGAUUAGGUUGUCACACCCUAACCAUUGGAGACUCUAAUAUUGAAUGAGUGAUGAAUGUAAGAUCUUAAGAAAAACAUGCUUAACUUGGAAAAUAAACUAAGUAGUACAACUACUCCUUAGUUUAUUUGUUAAGUGUUUGAGACAAGUAAUUUUAUUGACUUGAAAUCAUUUUUUAGGUGAUCAAUCUAAAAAGAGCGUUAAGUACUUCUCAAACAAAUAAUAUUAACCAAAGCACCAACUUGAAUGAUUAAAAUCCAAACUUUUGUAAAUUAAGAAGAAGUAGAAAUUACAUAACCUUAUUCAAAAGAAAAUGUUUAGGAGCAUGAGCUAUCCAUCCAAGGAUUGGAUGCUUUUGAGUUCCANNNNNNNNNNNNNNNNNNNNNNNNNNNNNNNNNNNNNNNNNNNNNNNNNNNNNNNNNNNNNNNNNNNNNNNNNNNNNNNNNNNNNNNNNNNNNNNNNNNNGUGUUGGAUGCUCAGCUGCCUUGUUUGGCAGCUAAGUUGCUCACCUUUGGCCCCUAUGAAGAGCCACUUUGGCCCCUACUUGACCCCUAUGGUGGGCUAGGUUACAUGCAUGGUGACACCUCCUCCUUCUUGUCAUAGCCUUAUGUCAUCCAUGAGGUCAUGUUCUUGGCCUUUAAGCAAAGAAAAAGUAAGAUGUUCCAUGAUUUGACCAAAAAAUCACUUUGCUGGUGCGCCAGCCGCUUAGCCCACUUGUUUCCCCGCUAAGCUGCCUGUUUCAGCAGCUUGGCUGACCUGGUUCCCCGCUCAGCUACAUGUUUCAGCCGCUCAGCUGACUAGUUCCACGCUCAGCUGCCUGUUUCAGCAGCAUAGCUGACCUGGCCUGGUGCUUGGUGCUGUCUGACCUGGCUUGGUGCUUGGUGACUGCCUGACCUGGCCUGGUGCUUGAUGCCUGGCUGACCUGACCUGGUGCUUGGUGUCUGGCUGACCUAGCGUAUAGUGAUUGGUGCAUGGCUGACCUGGCCUAGUGUUUGGUGCAUGGCUGACUUGGCCUGGUGCUUGGUGCUUGGCUUGGCUUGACAGCUUUGUGCCUGAUUUCUUCAUGGUGAAGCAACCUUUUUUCCUUUGGUUUGUUAUUUGAUUUUUGUUGGUUCCUUGGCACUUUUGGGAUGUUUUCUUUAAGUUAAGGAAAGCAUUUGAUUUUUGCAAGUUGUCUUGCCUACCUUAACAUAGGUUUCUUCAAGAUGAAGUAAGCUACCUUAACAUAGGUUUCUACAUUAGUUGACAAUUAUGGUGGAGAAAAUGUUAAAGCAUAGUGAUAAUAAAAUAUGAUGACAUACCUAUUCUACUUAUGGGGUGUUUUAUUUACUAUGUUGACAUGCCUAUUCAUGGUGUUGGAAUGGGUGGUAGGAAGACAAUUGGCGGAGAAAGUGGUGGUCGACUAGGUAAGGGCCCAAAGUUCACUUUAUCUUAUUUGAUGGACUAAAAAUCUUUGCGAAGUUUUGACAACAUGAAUGAAAACAAAAAGAAAGACUAGCAAUGCUAUGCAAGCAUAACCCAUUCAACUUUACAAUAUUGAAAUAUGAUUGCUAAAUUAACAAUCUAUAUUCCAUAAUGAUACAAAUAAAUAGAUCCAAUCGCUGUACAUAGAAAAAUAAAAGAGGAUAUCAAUGAGAUAAAAGUUUUGUAUACAUAUUCAAAGUCCCACACCGUCUAAGAUUGAAUUUUUAAUUCUCUUACUACAUAUAAAUAGACCCUCAAUGCUACUAAUCAAAAUGCACUUGUGUGCCAAAGGAGCAACUUUGGUGGCAUGGAACAAAACAUUUAGGUCGAAGAAUAAAGUAACUUCUUUUCCUUAUUCUAUUUAAUUUUUUCCUUUUAUUAGCUUAGAUUUAUAUUUAUGUUUGUUGAUUUUGUAUAAACAUGUGGGUAUUAGAUAAUGAAUAUUUUAUGAAUUCUGUAUCGCCUUUUCUCUUCCUAUUUUAUGAAUUUUCGUAUUGCCUUUUGUCUUCCUAUUUUAUGAAUUUGCAUAUUGCCUUUUUUCUUCAUCUUUUAUCAUUUGUUUUCUUACUUUUUCCUUAUAAUUUAUUAUCUAAGCUUCUCGAGAAACUUCUUUCUAUUACUUUUUUUAAUGUUUAUAAUAGCCAUGUUCUUCAUUAGUGCUCUAGAUCUAUUUUAGAAAUUUGUUUUCAUUUCAACAUAACUUCAUAUGUACUUAUGUUACAUUUUUGGUCUGGUGGGUUCUCGACUGAAAUCUGUGAAACGUUCUGUAUUGAAGAUAUGUUAUAGGUUAUAAUUUUUCCUUCGGAAUACUUUACAAUCAUAUUUGUAUUUAAUUUUAUGCUAAAAUUAUUUGAGUUUUAGUUUUGAUAGGUUGAUCAAUGUGAGGUUUAAUCUAAAAAAAAGUUCUAUCCAUAUUUUUUCUAACCUUAUGAAUAAAGAACUAAUCCCUUUCGUGGACUAUUUCUCCCAAUAAAUGUUACUCUCAGAAGUCGAAACCUUAAGUUUUGUCCUUUUCAAGUCAAAUGAACUAUUAGAAACGAAAAUUAUGGUUGAAGAUAUGCAUAUAAUGAGAGGAACCUCAAGUGGUUGUAAUUAGAUUCUUGUUUUAUAAAGCCUUGAUUGCAGCAUUUUGGAGAUGCCACAACCACAUUGGAGAAUAUUUGAAUGAUAAGUGGAGAUGUUACAACAAAACCACAUUCGGUAAGUCCCUGAAUAUUUUACAUCUGUAUACAACAUAAAAAGAAAGAAUUUAUAUAAGAGUGAGGAUCCACUUACUCUAAGAUUUAAACUUCCUUAUCCUAGCCAUCAAUCCUAGGGAAAUCUAAUGGUUUAAAUUUACUCACAACUUCAAACCAUUAGAUUUCCCAAGAAUUGAUGGCUAAGAUAGGUUGGAGUAAGUGGAUCCCACCUCUUUAUAUAAUAGUACUUUUUGAAGAAAAUAGGAGGAGCCCUUACCAUUGUACAAUAGUUGCUUGCUUAUACAAAUAUGUGAUAAAUUUGAAUAACUUAUUUUUCAUACACACUAGUUUAAGACAUGUAUAUAGCCUUAUCCCUCUGCAUCCCUAAAUAGUUGAAGAAUUGUCAUUCCACAUAGUUCUUGAAUACACAGAUAAAGGUUCUACCUUGUUUUGCCAUCCCAAAUAUGACAAACUUUAACCUCAAAUUGGAAACCACCAUCAUUUUUUAUCAUUAAUUGUCGUUGAACAAAAUCCACUAAACACAGAGAAUUACUUUAAUGAUGAUAUUAAAGAUAAAGAAUAUUAUAUAAAUGGAACAUGUAAGAAGAUAAUGACAUAUGGACAAUGUGUUUAGAAUGAAAAUAUGCUUGACUAAACAAAAUAUUCCUAUUUUGAUUACACACAUGGGUUUUGAAAACUUGACUAUAAUUACCUUCUUUUUUUUACAUUUCCAUGUAAGAAUGCUGUUGUAGAUUAGGUCAAAAUAAGACCAUAUUUGGGAAGCAAUAUUGGAAAUUUUAAUAGUCAAGUUUUGAUAGGUAUACACAGUUACAAGCUAAAGACAUUGUCCAUUUGUUAUUGAAUUUUUACAAGUCUGAAUACAUUUAUAGUCUUUACUUUAAUUUUGUUGUUAAGCUAAUUUUAAAUAUGGGAUAUUUUUUAAGGGAUAUUAAAGUAGUAAAAUAUUUUUGGAUUCUAGUAUGACAACAAAGUUUGUUAUUUUGGGAUGACAAAGCAUGAUAA